rnacentral:rRNA from 1 species
CCUACGGGUGGCUGCAGUGAGGAAUAUUGGUCAAUGGACGCGAGUCUGACCCAGCCAAGUAGCGUGAAGGAUGACUGCCCUAUGGGUUGUAAACUUCUUUUAUAAAGGAAUAAAACGAGGCACGUGUGCAUUUUUGCAUGUACUUUAUGAAUAAGGAUCGGCUAACUCCGUGCCCGCAGCCGCGGUAAUACGGAGGAUCCGAGCGUUAUCCGGAUUCAGUGGGUUUAAAGGGAGCGUAGAUGGGUUGUUAAGUCAGUUGUGAAAGUUUGCGGCUCAACCGGAACAGUGCAAUUGAUACUGGCAGUCUUGAGUACAGGUGAGGAAGGCGGAAUUCGUGGUGUAGCGGUGAAAUGCUUAGAUAUCACGAAGAACCCCGAUUGCGAAGGCAGCUUACUAAACUGUGACUGACAUUGAUGCUCGAAAGUGUGGGUAUCAAACAGGAUUAGAUACCCCAGUAGUG